rnacentral:lncRNA from 1 species
CAGAAGGUACCAAGCUAGUAGGUGACAAGCAGAGGAGAAGCCUUACAUGUCAAUAAGGGCCUACCUCUGAUAGCCAAGGAUGACUUGCCUAUGUCCUUUGUUUACAAAGGACCUGAAUGUGUGGACCAUUGAGAGGUUCAUAGGCAGUCUCCUUGGCUAGCCUGAGUGGCCCCUAUUGCUCAUGCUAGGCUUAAUCGAGACUCUUUGACUUGGUGCACGCAAUUAGACACAGGAGUCUCCUCGACUUGUGCAUGGGCGUGCAUGCAAUUAGACACGACCUUGUCAUAUGUAGCUGUGUUUCAGUGUCCAUGCAUGCUCCAUUCCUAGCAUUUUCUUGAAAGGCCAAUAUAGCUUGGCAGUUUCUCUGGAAAGAAUCAGCAUCAAACAAUGUUCUUGACCAGAUGUUUUGAUAUUGCUUACGCCGCACAAUAUAAUACGGAUCGAUAGUAUGACCAGCAUUCUGAAAGAGCAUCCAGCAGGGUUCGAGCCUGAGUGGGUGCGUGGCCACAGCCUCCUUGACAGUAAACCUCUCUGGACUCUCAGCUUUGCUAUUUCAGUCACAUGAACUUUCUUAUCUUUCAGCUUCAGCAGAUUGAUCUCUAAACCUGGAAACUUCUGCAAGAACAUAUACCUCAUGAUUGGUUGCGUUGACCAGCCCUCAACUUCUGAUUGGAUAUCUGCAGGCUUUGUUGCAUGUAUGGAGAUUGGAGAAGCAGGGAAGCCGCGUUUGCGGCAGGUCAGGCCGAGCCAUGCGC